UGUUAUCCUUCCCUUCAAACUCACCGUAUGAACCAUAGCCUUAACUUCUCCACCCGAAGAUCACACAAGCAAAACCUUCUCUCCUCUCUAUACGCGCAAACAUAUAUCCAUCUUAAAAAGCAAUCUUCUAAAUCACACAGCUAAUCCCAUGGCGAAGCAAAGCAAUGGUAACAAGAAGAAGAAGAACGUUCCAAACGCCAUGUUCGUGAAAUCCAAAGCCCAAAAAGAAACCCUUUCGAAACCAUUUGGUUCCCAAGAAAAUCCUAUUUUCUGGGCAAAAAGCGCAAGGGCGAAGAAAAGUGUAUCGGCCAAUAUAGCUCUCUCGCAUUCCAAAAGAGGAAGAGGACGCUAUUGAACGAGAAUGAACAAAGGGGGAAAUCAUAUCGGAUGGAAGAGUGAAAAUGGGAAGAUUUAAACUUGGAUUGCUUGUUGAAUGUGUUUGAGAGAUUGGGACUUGGAUCUCUUGUAUUGGACAUUCCCUUUGUGUGCAAGUCAUGGUACAAAGCAAAUCUCAAUCCACAAUAUGGAAGAGCGAAAAUGGGAAGAGUUGAACUUGGGUUGCUUGUUGAAUGUGUUUGAGAGAGCGGGAGUUGAUGCUCUGGUAUAUUAAUCGCACAUUCCCUUUGUCUGCAGUCAUGGAGAUUCUAGUGAUGAUUUUGCAAGGCUGCAAAAAAACUUCGGUGUUUUGAUGUUAAGCAUUGUGUAGGUUUCGAAGAUGGUGAUGAAAUAUUGAAGCUGCCUUUCAUAUUCGAUUAUUCCACCAUGAGGGUUCAAGAGCAUUUCUAUGGUGGUACCUUUACUAAAUUAAGAUUAGCUGGUAUUAUGAAGUGAGAAUUGCUAUGUAGUGAUAUCCUACCAUUUGAAACGGUGAUGAUGAAAUAUUUGUGUCAUUGAAUUUUAUCUAAUACAUGGUAUAUUGUAAACAUACCCUCUGUUUUAGCUCGAUCUUAACCGCCUGGUUUUGUAAUAUGAUUUAGUAACAGGUCUUUUAUUUAUUUUUUUCUUUCUUUUUCAUAUCAUCUUGCUCCACCGAGGCCAUAACUUUAGAAAAAACGGAAUGAAAAUAUAAGAUUUACGGAGCCGAUCACAAAUAAUUGAGAAAAAAACUGUGGUGGUUGUUGAAUGUUGUAUAUUUUUGUAUCAUCUUACUGCAUAUCUUCCAUUUUUCAAGAUAA